rnacentral:rRNA from 1 species
CUCGUAGGUGGCCAACUAAGUCAGACGUGAAAUCCCUCGGCUUAACCGGGGAACUGCGUCUGAUACUGGAUGGCUUGAGAUUGGGAGAGGGAUGCGGAAUUCCAGGUGUAGCGGUGAAAUGCGUAGAUAUCUGGAGGAACACCGGUGGCGAAGGCGGCAUCCUGGACCAACACUGACACUGAGGAGAGAAAGCCGAGGGGAGACGAAACG